AGAGUUUGAUCAUGGCUCAGAACAAACGCUGGCGGCGUGCCUAAUACAUGCAAGUCGAACGAGUAGCAAUACUAGUGGCGCACGGGUGAGGAAUAUAUGGGUAAUCUGCCCUCGAGUUGGGGAUAACCAGUCGAAAGACUGGCUAAUACCGAAUAAGACCACAGGAACUGAGGUUCUAGGGGUUAAAGGUUUUUCGCUUGAGGAUGAGCCCAUACGGGAUUAGCUAGUUGGUGAGGUAAUGGCUCACCAAGGCUACGAUCCCUAACUGGUCUUAGAGGAUGAUCAGUCACACUGGAACUGAGACACGGUCCAGACUCCUACGGGAGGCAGCAGUAGGGAAUAUUGCACAAUGGGGGAAACCCUGAUGCAGCGACGCCGCGUGAGUGAUGAAGGCCUUCGGGUCGUAAAGCUCUGUCGUAUGGGACUAACACAAUGAAGGUACCAUGCAAGAAAG
rnacentral:rRNA from 1 species